AUUGAACGCUGGCGGCAGGCCUAACACAUGCAAGUCGAGCGAGCGGCGGACGGGUGAGUAAUGUCUGGGAAACUGCCUGAUGGAGGGGGAUAACUACUGGAAACGGUAGCUAAUACCGCAUACCAUCAGAUUUGCCCAGAUGGGUUUAGCUUGUAGGUGGGGUAACGGCUCACCUAGGCGACGAUCCCUAGCUGGUCUGAGAGGAUGACCAGCCACACUGGACCGGAGACACGGUCAAGACUCCUACGGGAAGCAACAGUAGGGAAUAUUGCACAAUGGGCGCAAGCAUGAUGCAGCCAUGCCGCGUAUGUGAAGAAGGCCUUCGGGUUGUAAAGCACUUUCAGCGAGGAGGCGUUACCCGCAGAAGAAGCACCGGCUAACUCCGUGACAGCAGCCGCGGUAAUUC
rnacentral:rRNA from 1 species